GACGAACGCUGGCGGCGCGCUUAACACAUGCAAGUCGAACGGAAAGGCCUGCUUUCCCUUGUGGAUUGCGGGUACUCGAGUGGCGAACGGGUGAGUAACACGUGAGUGAUCUGCCCCCAACUUGGGUAUAAGCCUGGGAAACUGGGUCUAAUUCCCGAUAGGACUGCAGGGUGGUGCCUGUGGUGGAAAACGAUUUUCUAGUGGUUGGGGAUGAGCUCGCGGCCUAUCAGCUUGUUGGUGGGGUAAUGGCCUACCAAGGCGGGGACGGGUAGCCGGCCUGGGAGGGUGGACGGCGACAGUGGGACAGAGACACGGCCCAGACUCCUAGGGGAGGCAGCAGUGGGGAAUAAUGCAGAAUGGGCGGAAGCCUGAUGCAGCGACGCCGCGUGGGGGAUGACGGGCUUCGGGUUGUAAACUCCUGUCGACCGAGAGGAAGCCACCUGGAUGGAAGGGUGGUGACGGUAGUGGUAGAAGAAGCACCGGCUAACUACGUG
rnacentral:rRNA from 1 species